rnacentral:lncRNA from 1 species
CUCUUUCAGCGGUACUAGCCGCCACGCGGUGCGCGGCUGUGGCUUAAGGUGUUUUCUUUCACCUGAUGUGCGCUAAAUGGCUUGAGCGGCACUGGAGGAACGGUUCCCUUCCCUUCGCCAUCCUAGCAGAGCCUCGGGGAGCAGGGUGGCCGAGCGCAGCCUCCUCGCCGAGGCACGAGGGGACAGGCCCCGGCACAGAGGGCUCCUCCUGCCUAAACGGCCCAAGCCCUCGGCCAGAGGCAGCCGACCUCAGAGGACAGCGCAAGCACCACCCAUCUGCCGAGGGCUCUGGAGGAUAACGAGGCUGCGAACAGCACGCAAAGCAAACGCGUGUCACCAUAUAAGCGUCACAGGACUACGGGUCUGAAUCUCCUUUCCAGCCGCUGGCCUUACUCUGAAGGACUUGAAUGGAUUCAAGGUUUCACACGAGGAAGCCUUUCAGGUGAAAAGGCUACAAAAAUGGCAAAGCAGAGCCCGUGCCCGUGUGACAUGCUGUUUCUCCUUCCAGACUUCAGAGGCGAUCCCUCGGCUGGUGCGAACGCCUGUAACUCUGCUACAAUAAGAUUAUUUUACUGCAGCGUAGGAGCUUGGCUGUACGCUAAAAAGGGGAGAUGUUGUGAUGGGGAAUCUGCAAACAUCUCCACUGUCUGCCUACAAAUAUGCUGGGUAGAAGACAUAACCAGACUCUGCAGCCUUCCCCACUUCAUCUCAAGAGGCCAUGCCUAAGAGUAUCUUCAGCCAGAAGAAUUAGAAUCAGUUUAAAAGGCUUUGCUCUCAUAUCGUAUGAUUUCUGCUCUGGAAAGUCUAAUUUGCUCCUAUAGCACCUGGCUACUAAUUCUGCCAUCUCGCUUUCUGGUCAACUGAGACUCACUGUCUUUGCCUUCCAAUGCACCAAAACCUGUCAAAUUAAAGUAAGUUUCCAUGCUGGUCAUUCUGUUCAAAUACCGUUAUCCGUUGCCAUAACGUGCAUGUCUUGCCUAGGUGGCAACUUGUCUAUGGAGUGUCUAUUUGC